AGUCGAACGAUGAAGCCUAGCUUGCUGGGUGGAUUAGUGGCGAACGGGUGAGUAACACGUGAGUAACCUGCCCUUGACUCUGGGAUAAGCGCUGGAAACGGCGUCUAAUACCGGAUAUGACCUGCCCCGGCAUCGGGUGUGGGUGGAAAGUUUUUCGGUCAAGGAUGGACUCGCGGCCUAUCAGCUUGUUGGUGAGGUAAUGGCUCACCAAGGCGACGACGGGUAGCCGGCCUGAGAGGGUGACCGGCCACACUGGGACUGAGACACGGCCCAGACUCCUACGGGAGGCAGCAGUGGGGAAUAUUGCACAAUGGGCGAAAGCCUGAUGCAGCAACGCCGCGUGGGGGAUGACGGCCUUCGGGUUGUAAACCUCUUUUAGUAGGGAAGAAGGGCUUCGGCUUGACGGUACCUGCAGAAAAAGCACCGGCUAACUACGUGCCAGCAGCCGCGGUAAUACGUAGGGUGCAAGCGUUGUCCGGAAUUAUUGGGCGUAAAGAGCUCGUAGGCGGUUUGUCGCGUCUGCUGUGAAAACCCGAGGCUCAACCUCGGGCCUGCAGUGGGUACGGGCAGACUAGAGUGCGGUAGGGGAGAAUGGAAUUCCUGGUGUAGCGGUGGAAUGCGCAGAUAUCAGGAGGAACACCGAUGGCGAAGGCAGUUCUCUGGGCCGUUACUGACGCUGAGGAGCGAAAGCGUGGGGAGCGAACAGGAUUAGAUACCCUGGUAGUCCACGCCGUAAACGUUGGGAACUAGAUGUGGGGGCCUUUCCACGGUCUCCGUGUCGCAGCUAACGCAUUAAGUUCCCCGCCUGGGGAGUACGGCCGCAAGGCUAAAACUCAAAGGAAUUGACGGGGGCCCGCACAAGCGGCGGAGCAUGCGGAUUAAUUCGAUGCAACGCGAAGAACCUUACCAAGGCUUGACAUAUACCGGAAACUUCCAGAGAUGGUUGCCCCGCAAGGUCGGUAUACAGGUGGUGCAUGGUUGUCGUCAGCUCGUGUCGUGAGAUGUUGGGUUAAGUCCCGCAACGAGCGCAACCCUCGUUCUAUGUUGCCAGCACGUUAUGGUGGGAACUCAUAGGAGACUGCCGGGGUCAACUCGGAGGAAGGUGGGGAUGACGUCAAAUCAUCAUGCCCCUUAUGUCUUGGGCUUCACGCAUGCUACAAUGGCCGGUACAAAGGGCUGCGAUACCGUAAGGUGGAGCGAAUCCCAAAAAGCCGGUCUCAGUUCGGAUUGAGGUCUGCAACUCGACCUCAUGAAGUCGGAGUCGCUAGUAAUCGCAGAUCAGCAACGCUGCGGUGAAUACGUUCCCGGGCCUUGUACACACCGCCCGUCAAGUCAUGAAAGUCGGUAACACCCGAAGCCAGUGGCCUAACCGUAAGGA
rnacentral:rRNA from 1 species